AUUGAACGCUUGCGGCAGGCCUAACACAUGCAAGUCGGGCGAGUGGCGGACGGGUGAUUAAUGUAUUGGUAUCUGCCUGAUGGCGGGGGAUAACUACUGGAAACGGUAGCUAAUACCUCAUACCAUCAGAUGUACCCAUAUGGGAUUGGCUUGUCGGUGAGGUAACGGGUCACCUAGGCGACGCUCCGUAGCUGGUCUGAGCGGAUGAUGAGCCGCACUGGGACUGAGACACGGCCCAGACUGCUACGGGAGGCAGCAGUGGGGAAUAUUGCACAAUGGGCGCAAGCAUGAUGCAGCCAUGCCGCGUGUAUGAAGAAGGCCUUCGGGUUGUAAAGUACUUUCAGUCGGGAGGCGUUACAAGCAGAAGAAGCACCGGCUAACUACGUGCCAGCAGCCGCGGUAAUUC
rnacentral:rRNA from 1 species